UACAGGGGGGGCAAGCGUUGUUCGGAAUUACUGGGCGUAAAGGGCCAGUAGGCGGCCAACUAAGUCACACGUGAAAUCCCCAGGCUUAACCUGGGAACUGCGUGUGAUACUGGAUGGCUUGAAUUCGGGAGAGGGAUGCAGAAUUCCAGGUGUAGCGGUGAAAUGCGUAGAUAUCGGGAGGAACACCUGUGGCGAAAGCGGCUCACUGGACCACAACUGACGCUGAUGCGCGAAAGCUAGGGGAGCAAACAGG
rnacentral:rRNA from 1 species